ACGUACUGUGCGAACGUUAUUCGGAAUCACUGGGCUUAAAGGGUGCGUAGGCGGUCGCUUAAGUAGGGUGUGAAAUCCCCCGGCUCAACCGGGGAACCGCGCUCUAAACUGGGCGGCUUGAGUAAGAUAGGGGUGUGCGGAACUUCCGGUGGAGCGGUGAAAUGUGUUGAUAUCGGAAGGAACACCAGUAGCGAAAGCGGCACACUGGGUCUUAACUGACGCUGAGGCACGAAAGCUAGGGUAGCGAACGGG
rnacentral:rRNA from 1 species